UGGCGAGGUUCGCAUGGGGAGGCACAGC
rnacentral:piRNA from 1 species